GACGAACGCUGGCGGCGUGCCUAAUACAUGCAAGUCGAGCGCGGGAAACAGACGAUCGCCUCCGGGCGUGAGUUUGUGGAACGAGCGGCGGACGGGUGAGUAACACGUGGGCAACUUGCCUAUAAGACUGGGAUAACUCGCGGAAACGUGAGCUAAUACCGGAUAACACUUUUUAUCACAUGGUAGAAAGAUGAAAGGCGGCGCAAGCUGUCACUUAUAGANGGGCCCGCGGCGCAUUAGCUAGUUGGUGAGGUAAUGGCUCACCAAGGCGACGAUGCGUAGCCGACCUGAGAGGUGAUCGGCCACACUGGGACUGAGACACGGCCCAGACUCCUACGGGAGCAGCAGUGGGAAUCUUGCGCAAUGGGCGAAAGCCUGACGCAGCGACGCCGCGUGAGGGAUGACGG
rnacentral:rRNA from 1 species